UACGUAGGUGGCAAGCGUUGUCCAGAUUUACUGGGCGUAAAGAGCGCGCAGGCGGUCGUUCAAGUCGCGUGUGAAAGCCCCCGGCUCAACUGGGGAGGGUCACGCGAUACUGAUCGACUCGAAGGCAGGAGAGGGAAGUGGAAUUCCCGGUGUAGUGGUGAAAUGCGUAGAUAUCGGGAGGAACACCAGUGGCGAAGGCGACUUCCUGGCCUGUUCUUGACGCUGAGGCGCGAAAGCUAGGGGAGCAAACGGG
rnacentral:rRNA from 1 species